CUCCGUCAAUGGAGCUCACUUGCUUUGUCUUAGCCCCUCUGAGAAUCAUCGUCAGAUUCAACUCAGAUCGUUUCCCGAGGUUUUUGGCUUUUAAAAUGCAGAGGCCACAGGACGUAGCAUCGAAAGGUUUACACACCCAAGCCUGACCCUAACUCCCCCAUCACUCACUGCCUGCCCGGGACCGCCAUCUUGUUCCCGUCUCCGCUGGACGUGGCCAACGCGGAUGUGACGUUGACGCUGACGCGGGCACGCACACUUCCGGUGGCCGGGACUCGCCCCGCGGUGGGAUCUGGUCCUGGAGUUGUUUGCACCAGGUGGGUGGCCGUGUCCUACCGCCGUGUUUUGUUUCGCCUGGGACUAGUGGUCUUGAAGUCGACGCUAGGAGGGGACGACAGAAUUGGCCCGCGGAGGGCGAUCCUGGGAAGAGCCGCCUCACCGGAAAUAGAUUAGAAUCACAAAUCCAACCGCGCGCACCUGCUGAAUCCGGAGCGGGCGGGGGCGGGGCCGGCAAUCUGAAUUUUAAUGAGUUUCCAAAAGGCUAAUCACAGACCGGGGGAUUUGUUUUCCUUCUGACCUGUUCACUGUAGCUAGUUCUGGGUAAUUAGAGAACGAAAAGCAGUAGUGCACCAAUGAGAGCUGAUUAUUUUCUUCGAACAGGGUCUUGCUGUAUGACCCCCACUUCCUAGAACUCAAGAUCCUCCUGCCUGGAGUUGCUGGCCCUAGCCGAGAACUGAAAUUAUUUUAACAUUAUUGUUGGUGGUGCCACUAGGCAUAGGGAACAGUGUCAUAUCUGAUACGUUUUUGCAUCUUUGAGACCGUCAUGGUGUGUAGUCCAGAAUAGCCUCUUGCCUCAGCCUCCUGAGGGAUGGUAAUCCGUCUCAGGUUUGCCACCUCAUUAAAAACAGCCGGACGGUGGUGGCACACGCCUUUAAUCCCAGCACUCGGGAGGCAGAGGCAGGCAGAUCUCUGUGAGUUCGAGGCCAGCCUGGUCUACAAAGCGAGAUCCAGGAAAGGCGCAAAGCUACACAGAGAAACCCUGUCUCGGAAAAACAAACAGACAAACAAACAAACAAAAACCCUGGCCACAUUUCAUCUGUGCAUACACCAUUCUAAACUAGUUGUAGAACAGUUUAAGAGACCAAUUACAAAAAGGCUGUUACGUCUGUACAAUUGUUUCUCCCUUUUUUUUUUUUCUCUCUCUCUCAUGUACUUGGAAGUUUUAUGAACAUGUGAAAUGGUAGCAUUAGGAAGUGACCCUGACGUCUAGGUUUAUGUUUCAAAGGGAGGACACUUACCAAGCAUACUAAAAGCCCUGGGUUUGAACUCCCAACACUGCAAAAGAGAAGAAAAUGACCCUCUAGUCAUUCCUGUUUUGGUAUAACUGGCUUUGUUUUGAAAGGCAUAAUAUGCCUUUUAUAAAAUCUUUUUACUUUUAACCUAUUUGUGAUAUGUUUAUGUUGGAUUUCUUGCUGAUAACAUAUAGGCAAGUCUUCCUUUUUAUGCGUACUGUCUGAUAACCUCAUUUUAAUUAGAAUGUUUAAACUAUUUUCAUUAAGGUGAUUAUAAACACA